rnacentral:rRNA from 1 species
UAGCCAGUGAUGGCAUGCGAAUCUCGAAAGCCUAUCUCAGUUCGGAUUGGAGGCUGAAACCCGCCUCCAUGAAGUUGGAUUCGCUAGUAAUCGCGCAUCAGCCAUGGCGCGGUGAAUACGUUCCCGGGCCUUGUACACACCGCCCGUCAAGCCAUGGGAGCCGGGGGUGCCUGAAGUUCGUUACCGCAAGGAUCGACCUAGGGCAAAACUGGUGACUGGGGCUAAGUCGUAACAAGGUAAC